GAGAUGCUAGCCAUCAUAAAAAGAGCAUCUUCAAUUGAAUGAAAUUUCCAAUUUUCUUCUUCAAUGUUGUAUGAGUAUUACAGUCCUUUAUUGUUGCUUCUUCCUCCUAUCUUGCUGUUCCAUUAUUAGGUAGAUCUUCUUCCUCUAGAAGAACGAUCACCAUGUGCACUAGAUAGCCAACCCUCCAUAGCCUGAUGCAAGCCAGUAUAUGAUGGUCACUGGAUAGCUUUUAAGCCAUAUCAAACAUGAAGGCAAGAAUUUAAGGUCAGCCAUAAACCCCCUCUCUUCCCCUUCUUUUUCUACAUAUAACUCCAUCAGUUUACUUAGUUCUAUCCUAUUAGGAAGCACCUAAUUUAAGUAAUAGAGGAAGCUAGACAAGAAAAGCUCUUCAAUCUCUCAAGUUGAGCUAUAUUAUUCUUUGGUCUUUGUCAUUCUAUUUACACUCUUUCACUGUUUUGAUCUUCUUUUAAUCUUCUACAUAACAUGAUUCAACUGUUUGUUGGAAUGCCUCCUACAUAUGUUCAUGGCUUUUCUGUAGUCAGAUCCCAAUUUUCUAAUCCUCUUUUGGUCCCUGGUAUUAGUUAAGCAUCAUGAUACAUCAUGAAAACAUAAAGUUGUAUCAAAUAUGAAGUCAGGAAUCAUUAAUACUGAAAUCAAUGGGUGAAAACCAGAAAAACUAUAGACAUGUGCAGCACCCAGUUAGCAUGAACUAUAUCUAUAUCUACCUUUUCUGUAUGCAGGAUAUCUAUAGCUUCAACAAUUACUAUUGUUCACGAUUAUCAAUGCCAUUAUUUGUAAUAAGCUAUUAGAAUAUGCACAAACACAAGCAAAAAUCUAAAUUCCAAUCAAUUUGGAAUCAAUUUCUUAGAAUAGGUUUCAUGUUAUGAAUGUGGCUAAGACCUAUGCCAAAUAUGACAUCAAGCUUCCUAAAUGAAAAAUUCCUAACUGGAUCUGUUGGAUGGGAGGGCUACUUAACAUAAAUUAUGUGUGAUCCUGCUAUUGAAUUUCAUAAAUUCCAAUAAAUACAGAUGAUGCAACCAGCCGCUAGGUAAGACAGAGAGCCUGGUUGAGCCUAUUAUGGACCCUAAAUUGGCUGGAAGUUACAGAUAGCAGCCUUCUAUUUGCUUUUUACAGAAAACAAUCCUCUUAAGGCAAUAUUUUCAUUUGUAGAUACUUUUGUUUAAGGGAAACCAGAAGAUAUAGCUAAGCACAUACAGACUGGUUUAGUUCAUAUGAUAUGGCAUUUAUCAUGUUUAGGAUAAUAAUUAUUACAAGUAUUUAUUCUUUAAAAAAUUGUUACCUAAGAUUGAUUUAAUUGGGUCCUUCUUAAUCUUAUAAACUUGGGGAAUGAUCCUAUGUACUAAAAAAAAAAUUGGACUUGAAUUCUUUUAUGAGAAAAAAAAGAAAGAGAGAGUUCAGUCUCAUUUCUAUUCCCAUUCUCUACUACUAAAUUCUUUCCACUCAUUUUCAUUUCAGCCUCGGCUACUUCUUCCCUGUAUUCAUCUGCAAUAGAUCUAGGCCAAUAUCUGAUCAUAUCUGAUCCAUUGCAUUACAGAGACCAGCCAAAGAAACCCAAUAUCCCCUUUCUUAAUCCCUAUUUAGGUACAAUCUUUAUAAUAUUAAAUCCUCACCCUAGUUUUUCAUCAUCACUUCAUUGAAUUCAUUUCCGUGCUUUACUUGACAUCUGAAUACGGGAUUUAACCACAAAGCCCUGGAUGUUGUCUUUUUAACCUUUCCACUCUUCAGUCAACAACCAUGAUAGAUCAUACCAAUUAUUGUUCUUGACCAUCAGGAACAUAAAGUUCAUCAAUAUACCUAGAUGUUUUCACUUUAUUCUUGGUUAUGUUCCAUUGUGAAAACAGAAAGCUUAACAGUGCUUCUACCAUGAAGUUUUGCAAGAGUUUUAGUUUCCUUUGUAAUAUUCAUAUGUCUAAUCUUAAGGGGUCACAUUAGGUGAUAUGGUUAUAGUUUGAACAUCAUGUUAGCAAUACUUUACUAUAUAAUUAAGACUGAUACCAAGAAAAGGGUUGUACUAACAGAAAAGUUGCACUUCUUCCUCUUUAUAGCCUACCACACAGCAGUAGCAGUACUUUAAAUAUCACCAAUGUUACAUUAGCAAUAAACAUAGCCAAACUUGCACAUAUGUUUUGAAACGGUCCAUCUAAAUUGAAAGACACCAAGAAAUUAGUUGCAUUUUAAAAAAACUAUAAAUGUAUAAUAUGUUUAGCGAAUCAGGUAUCAUUUAUCAAAAAUGUGACCAUUCUCACAGAUAUCAUUUGUCAUGCCCUGAAAAUAUCUUUGGUAUCAUGCCACAGAACAGCUAAUAAUAAUUUGAUUACCAUCAACAAUGCAUAUACAAUAUUUUGCUACUGCAAGUAACAGAAGUUUAAAGUUAAAUAGCUCAUAAUAACAAAUCUCAUGGCAACCUCCACAUAAAGCAAUAUUGCAUUCCGUCCAGUGAAUGUGUUAUCCAGUCGUCCAAAGCCAAAAAUGAUGAUAAUUUAGGAUCCUCUCCAAGAAAUCAUUUUUAUAACAAAGCACAAGUUAUGGCUAAAUCCAUCCUCCUGAAUUCAAUUUAUAUUUUUCUUCUUAAAUGCCAACUUAAAUAUUACAAUAAUUUACAAUCCUUCUAUAGUAGAACAUUUUCAGCACUGACACCAUAUCCCAUUUUCUUGAAUUCUGUUUUUCGUAAAAAUAAUAUUUUUCUUGAAUUCAAAAGUAAUAUUUGGAUAUGGUAUUCUUUCUCCUAACCAUCCCCUACCCGCCUAAACCAAGAAAUAAAAGAAAAGAAUUCAUACAAUCAGGAAAUGCAGUUCCUCAUAAGAUGGAAGUUCACGACGCAAAAAAGCUGAAAAGCAUUUUUCUCUUGGACAUGGUAUGAGAAAAUCACAACAUUCUGUGAAAAGCGGAACAUAUUUUACGUUAAUUCUCCAAUUUUUUCUCAACAUCACCAAUUAACUUUCCGCAAAACAUGAUUAAAGAAGGGAUAAAGUUCCACAAAAAAAAAAAAAAAAGAAUCGAGAAUCCCAUCAUACUUACAAAACUACAGCAAAAUUACUCCGAGAAAAUCGAGCAAAUAAGCUUGACUGAGUAUACAACAAUGAAGAAAAUCCACGAUGUUUUGAAGAACGAAUAGCGAAGGAGAAUACCUAAAUCAGAGCGGGGAAAUAAUCCGGGCCUGAGAAAAGAUCAAAACGCGUCGUUAAUCGGUGAUCCAAGAACAGGAGAAGAGGGUUUGAGAGGAAGAGUGACGGCGAGCGGAUCGGAACCCGAAGAACCCCAGCCACUUGAGGCGGGGCUUUAAGCAUGGAGUUUGUGCAUACGGACGGCCCAGAUUGAGUGAGAUCGGAGGCUAACAUCAUCUGAUGGAGUCGGUUUGAUGGUCGGUACGCCAUUAGGUCAUGGAGUCGG
rnacentral:lncRNA from 1 species